ACCAAGGCAAUGAUGCGUAACCGAGUUGAGAGACUGAUCGGCCACAUUGGGACUGAAACACGGCCCAAACUCCUACGGGAGGCAGCAGUAGGGAAUCUUCCACAAUGGACGCAAGUCUGAUGGAGCAACGCCGCGUGAGUGAAGAAGGUCUUCGGAUCGUAAAGCUCUGUUGUUGGUGAAGAAGGAUAAAGGCAGUAACUGGUCUUUAUUUGACGGUAAUCAACCAGAAAGUCACGGCUAACUACGUGCCAGCAGCCGCGGUAAUACGUAAGUGGCAAGCGUUGUCCGGAUUUAUUGGGCGUAAAGCGAGCGCAGGCGGAAUGAUAAGUCUGAUGUGAAAGCCCACGGCUCAAC
rnacentral:rRNA from 1 species